rnacentral:rRNA from 1 species
GACGAACGCUGGCGGCGUGCUUAACACAUGCAAGUCGAACGGAAAGGCCCUGCUUUUGUGGGGUGCUCGAUUGGCGAACGGGUGAGUAACACGUGAGUAACCUGCCCUUGACUUUGGGAUAACUUCAGGAAACUGGGGCUAAUACCGGAUAGGAUCUCCUGCUGCAUGGUGGGGGUUGGAAAGUUUCGGCGGUUGGGGAUGGACUCGCGGCUUAUCAGCUUGUUGGUGGGGUAGUGGCUUACCAAGGCUUUGACGGGUAGCCGGCCUGAGAGGGUGACCGGCCACAUUGGGACUGAGGUACGGCCCAGACUCCUACGGGAGGCAGCAGUGGGGAAUAUUGCACAAUGGGCGGAAGCCUGAUGCAGCAACGCCGCGUGCGGGAUGACGGCCUUCGGGUUGUAAACCGCUUUCGCCUGUGACGAAGCGUGAGUGACGGUAAUGGGUAAAGAAGCACCGGCUAACUACGUG